GUGUGUGACAGUGCUGAAUGGAAAAUUUACUGUGGAAUGGCUAUAAAUAUUAAAAACAAAAGACUGGAAACACAU
rfam:Cavia porcellus supercont2_8 genomic scaffold, whole genome shotgun sequence.